rnacentral:rRNA from 1 species
CCGUACCAUGCUGAAUAUACCGGUUCUCGUUAGAUCACCGAAGUUAAGCAUCAUUGGGCGCGGUCAGUACUUGGGUGGGUGACCACCUGGGAACACCGCGUGCCGUU